UACGAGGGGAGCAAGCGUUGUUCGGAUUUACUGGGCGUAAAGGGCGCGUAGGCGGUCGUGACAAGUCACUUGUGAAAUCUCCGGGCUUAACUCGGAACGGUCAAGUGAUACUGUCGGACUAGAGUACAGAAGGGGCAACUGGAAUUCUCGGUGUAGCGGUGAAAUGCGUAGAUAUCGAGAGGGAACACCUGCGGCGAAGGCGGGUUGCUGGGCUGAUACUGACGCUGGAUGCGCGAAAGCGUGGGGAGCAAACAGG
rnacentral:rRNA from 1 species